rnacentral:tRNA from 1 species
AAAGUCUUAAGUUAAGCACAAACUAGUAGCCUUCAAAGCUAAAAUUAAUAAUUUAGGCUUUGAAGAUUUUU